rnacentral:rRNA from 1 species
GACGAACGCUGGCGGCGUGCUUAACACAUGCAAGUCGAACGGUGAAGGGACCGGUUUUUGCUGGUUCUGGAUGAGUGGCGAACGGGUGAGUAACACGUGAGUAACCUGCCCCCUUCUUCUGGAUAACCGCAUGAAAGUGUGGCUAAUACGGGAUAUUCUGCGCCUGCUGCAUGGUGGGUGUGGGAAAGAUAUUGUUUCGGUGGGGGAUGGGCUCGCGGCCUAUCAGCUUGUUGGUGGGGUGAUGGCCUACCAAGGCGGUGACGGGUAGCCGGCCUGAGAGGGUGGACGGUCACACUGGGACUGAGACACGGCCCAGACUCCUACGGGAGGCAGCAGUGGGGAAUAUUGCACAAUGGGCGCAAGCCUGAUGCAGCGACGCCGCGUGAGGGAUGGAGGCCUUCGGGUUGUAAACCUCUUUCGCCAGUGAAGCAGGCCUGUCCCUUUUGUGGGUGGGUUGACGGUAGCUGGAUAAGAAGCGCCGGCUAACUACGUG